rnacentral:rRNA from 1 species
AAUUCCAGCUCCAAUAGCGUAUAUUAACGUUGUUGCAGUUAAAAAGCUCGUAGUUGAAGUGAAGUGAACAAAGAAGAGAAGAAUCUUCGGAUUCGGAUCUAAUGCGUUGACUCUUUCCAAAGUCAAUGUAUGGGUAUUCAUUUAUCUAUAUAUUGUGUUUGGUCGUUUACUGUGAGAAAAUUAGAGUGUUCAAAGCAGACGUUUGUUUGAAUACAUUAGCAUGGAAUAAUCAUAUAAGGCUUUCAUGUGUAUUUGAUUGGUUUGGAUAUGAAGCAAGGUUAAUAGGGACAGUUGGGGGUAUUCAUAUUCAAUAGUCAGAGGUGAAAUUCUCGGAUUUAUGGAAGAUGAACAAGUGCGAAAGCAA